GACGACGUGCGAACGUUAUUCGGAAUCAUUGGGCUUAAAGCGCGUGUAGGCGGAUUCGUGCGUCUGUCGCUGAAAUCCCCCGGCUCAACCGGGGAACGGGCGCGGAUACGACGAGUCUGGAGGGGCAUAGGGGGACCUGGAACUUCCGGUGGAGCGGUGAAAUGCGUUGAGAUCGGAAGGAACGCCCGUGGCGAAAGCGAGGUCCUGGAUGCCUACUGACGCUGAGACGCGAAAGCCAGGGGAGCGAACGGG
rnacentral:rRNA from 1 species